rnacentral:rRNA from 1 species
UACGGAGGAUCCGAGCGUUAUCCGGAUUUAUUGGGUUUAAAGGGUGCGUAGGCGGUUUGAUAAGUUAGAGGUGAAAUGUCGGGGCUCAACCCCGAAACUGCCUCUAAUACUGUUGGACUAGAGAAUAGUUGCGGUUGGCGGAAUGUAUGGUGUAGCGGUGAAGUGCUUAGAGAUCAUACAGAACACCGAUUGCGAAGGCAGCUUACCAAACUAUAUCUGACGUUGAGGCACGAAAGCGUGGGUAGCAAACAGG